rnacentral:rRNA from 1 species
UACGUAGGGUGCAAGCGUUAAUCGGAAUUACUGGGCGUAAAGCGUGCGCAGGCGGCUUUGCAAGACAGAUGUGAAAUCCCCGGGCUUAACCUGGGAACUGCAUUUGUGACUGCAAGGCUUGAGUGCGGCAGAGGGGGAUGGAAUUCCGCGUGUAGCAGUGAAAUGCGUAGAUAUGCGGAGGAACACCGAUGGCGAAGGCAAUCCCCUGGGCCUGCACUGACGCUCAUGCACGAAAGCGUGGGGAGCAAACAGG